rnacentral:lncRNA from 1 species
UGGUUUUAUAAAUUAUUGUGAUUCACAGCAAAAAACAACAACAAGGGUACAGUGAUCAAGGAAAGAUCACAGAGAGAAAAAUAGAAACACACGGCACCACCAAUUUCCACCAAGCCAAUUUUGCCACCAUCUUUCACACUGUUCAUCCUUCCAACCAUUGGUAAUCCGCACCAUCAACAGCCUAGCCUUGAAACUCAAUUCUGUCUCCAUUACCAGUGGAGGCCAUACUCAUCUCGAACCCAGCCUCAACGACUACUAUUGUCAGUAGCAUAAACACAAAGACAAAAUCUUUCAUCCAAUUAUGCUGCAACAUUCAAACAGAAAGAAGCCAUUCAGGAGAGUUGCAACAUUCAAGUGACAGGAAACCAAAAAAGCCAUAAUUUCAGUUAUAUUCUAGCUACCAAAAAUCACUCAAUAAACAAAAACAAUUCCAUCAGCAAAUAGAGAGAAAUCUGAAUCUGGCAGCAUUAGUGCCAAUUUAUCAAACCAAGUGCUUGACCUCGCCUUCACCAAAAUCAUGGACUCCAAAGCCUUAUGCCAUUGCCAGCCAAAACUCAACACCCUAUAAAUUGAUUCCCAGAAUGUAAUCACAAGUAGACCACACACGAAGCUCACCAUCGACCAACUACUCACCACCAUUGGGGUUUCGUUAGACCAUUGCCCAUCAUUAGCCAGUCGUCCCAACAUGAAUUCAAAAAAUGAACAAGGCUAAAUCAGACACUAUAGGAGAUCAAAAAUAGAAAAAAAAAAGUCGAAUAAAAGAAGAGAAACCAUAAAGCCCUUUGGUGGCGACGGUGACAAGCGACGAUCAUGUGACUUCUGAGAGAUCUAAACGGUGAAGAUGAUGAGCUUGGUGAGGGAGAUAACAUACUAAAAGUUAGAAAAGAUCCGACGGUGGGAGAAGCUGGAACGAAGAAAGGAAAACCCAAAGCUUGAAUUUCAGAUCUAUGCCUUUAGGAAGUGAUUUUCAAAAAAAAGGAGCCCAUAUUCUAAACGAGAAGAGUGAGAAGUAGCAGUGGGGAAAAUUUUGGCUUGACCGAUCGUCUGAUAGUGGCGGAGUACGAUGGUGCAGGUGAUAGAGCACGGCUGCAUCGAUGUUGGGAUUUGCAAAAAUUUAAAGUUUUUGAUCGGGUUUUCUAUACUUAGAGAGAGAGAGAGAGAGAAAGCUGAGGGUAGAAAGAGAGUGUAAAAG